rnacentral:rRNA from 1 species
AACGAACGUUAGCGGCGCGCUUAACACAUGCAAGUCGAACGAGAAAGGGCUUCGGCCCCGGUACAGUGGCGCACGGGUGAGUAACACGUGGGUAAUCUACCCUCGAGCGGGGGAUAACGUUCCGAAAGGAGCGCUAAUACCGCAUAAGACCACGCUCUCGAAAGGGAGCGAGGUAAAAGUAGGCCUCUGAAUUCACGCUUACACUCGAGGAUGAGCCCGCGGCCCAUCAUGGUAGUUGGUAGGGUAAUGGCCUACCAAGCCGAAGACGGGUAGCUGGUCUCAGAGGAUGAUCAGCCACACUGGAACUGAGACACGGUCCAGACUCCUACGGGAGGCAGCAGUGGGGAAUAUUGCGCAAUGGGCGAAAGCCUGACGCAGCCACGCCGCGUGAGCGAUGAAGGUCUUCGGAUCGUAAAGCUCUGUGGGGGGAGAAGAAGAAAGCCGGUGAAGAGCCGGCCCUGACGGUAUCCCCUUAGCAAGCACCGGCUAACUCCGUGCCAGCAGCC